UACGUAGGUGGCAAGCGUUGUCCGGAUUUACUGGGCGUAAAGAGCGCGCAGGCGGUCGUUCAAGUCGCGUGUGAAAGCCCCCGGCUCAACUGGGGAGGGUCACGCGAUACUGAUCGACUCGAAGGCAGGAGAGGGAAGUGGAAUUCCCGGUGUAGUGGUGAAAUGCGUAGAUAUCGGGAGGAACACCAGUGGCGAAGGCGACUUCCUGGCCUGUUCUUGACGCUGAGGCGCGAAAGCCAGGGGAGCGAAUGGG
rnacentral:rRNA from 1 species